ensembl:lincRNA Platr11 pluripotency associated transcript 11
CUGAGCUCACGGACAUGAGGACUGGCCUGCUAGAGAAAGAGCGGCCCAGGCAGAGCAUGGCAGGAAUUGAGUACUGAUUGCAGUAGCUUUGGAGGAUGGAUGCUCUGUCUGACUUUCUUAUGAUGCUCCUGGAAGAUGAGACCCUCUAGGAAGAAGAGUGACCUGAACCUCAAGGAUAACCUUAAACAUCUGACCCGCAGCCUCUGCUUCCCACUGCUGGAUUGUGAUGGAUCUCAUUCGUGCUUGUCUCACUCCUGGAACAAAACCUCUGACCGGAGCAACUUAAGGAAGGGAAUGUGAAAAGCUAUGCUGACAGGGGAGGUCUCAGUCUGUGGAGCUUACAUUCAGGGCGGGCCUUCCCACCUUAGUCUAACCACUCUACUCUCGG